GAGGGCAACAGAAACACGCUGUUUACUUCGAGAGACUGGACAGAUGCCUCUUUACUUUUACUGGUUCACGUGUGUUAUGAGAUUCUGGAAUUCCCUUCUGAGCACAAACAAUGACCUCCUGAGCAGAGUCGUGCAAGCAGACAUGCGUUUUGCUGACAGGACAGGAAGCUGGACUUACCAGGUUAUUACAGCCCUGAAUGACAUGCCCAAUGCCCAGCAAUUUGCUGCUGCUGUACGCUCUGGGACCUGGGUUAAUAUGAAUGAUUUGGAGGGUGUACUUUGUGAGCAAAUCAUCCAGGAUUGGAGAAGUCUGGA
rnacentral:lncRNA from 1 species